GACAGGAAAACAUUCUUGUUUUCUUUUUUUCAUUGCCAUAUGUAUUUAUGAAUACAUCAUGAAAAUGAAUGCUUCACGCAAGCUUCUCUUUGCUGCUUUCACUAGAUCUUCUUUGCCAUACAAUAUAAUGGAAGGCAAACAAAGUUGUAGUGAAAGGAGCAAAAAGAAGCUUGGGAAGUGGACUUCCCUACUUAUAAGGGGAAAAAAACAAAUAAAUAAAAGCAUUUAUUGACAACAAAAAGAUGAAGAUUUACUCUGUCUAUCUAGCUUUCUUCUCAUGCACAUCUACUUCUGUAGAGAAUGUACAGCUUUCAAAAGGUAUAAAAGCUUCAAAACUAUAUUCAGUUGCUGGGUUCUGCUGAUGUUAGCAGCUCAACUCUUCUGAAGCAACUGUGUUAGCUGUCCACUGGGAAGUCAAUAUGAGAGCUAUCCAUUAUGGUAUUCUUACAUGUUAUUUUCCACUCCUGAAGGCCGCAGCUGUACUUGUCUGGUCUUCUGAUCUGGUACACUACAGAUUACGGCUUUGUAAAUAUUUUUCUUGAUACCUUCUGGCCUUUUGAGGGGCAAUGAUCUCAAGAGCACCAUGGACGCACUUGCGAUAUGAGAAGUCCUCAUUUGUCCCGUCUGUUCUAACCAGAGAAAAGCAGCGAGAAUCUUGAUAUUCUGGAUGAUUUACAACCUUAAUAUCUUUGGCUCCAGAUCCAAUUUUCUCAUCUCGUCGAGGAUGAAAAUGUAAGGCCAUCAUCAAGGUACACUUGUCAGUCUCAUUUAAUUGGUGAUCUACAGGGUACUUAUUCAAGAUUUUGCUCAGUGCUUGGGAGAGUCUAUGAAUAUCAUUAUAUGUAAAUAACCUUCUCAAAGAUUCCAAUGUUCGUUUAGGGUCAUAAGGUGUCUUGUACACAAACUGGGCACUGUAUUUGUCAGAUUUAUAGCUCUGAGCAAAAGGCACUUCAAACUCAUUAUUCUGCUCGUCAGUACUCAUUUGGCUACCCAGAAGGUCAUAGACAUCCACAGGCUUUGAAAGCUUGUAUUCCUUCCCAGAGAAUACAAUAUCAAACUGUCCAGUCCCAAUAGAAGGAAUCUUUCCCCAUGACAAAGCAUCCAAGCUCCCUCGAAGAUCAUCCACAAUUUCUGCCUUGGCAGCUUUGAUAAAGCAAUUACCAGGACUGGAAAAGCAUGCUUGCACAAAUGGUGAAAGAACUGACGCAUGCUCUCUUUGCCGUUUCCAGCCUUUUGCAUUUAGGCCAACAAACUCUCCUGUAACUGAUAGACAAUUCGCAACAAGAAGCAAAUGUUCAGGAAGUACACUCUUGCCAACAUCAGAUAUUGCAGACGCCAAAUUAUUGAGGAAAAAUUUCCAUCCAGCAUCUAUGCCAUAUGCCAAACAGAAAUCACGUAUAUUAUCUGGAUGACUGCGUGUCCAAUCAAUCAUAUCCAUUAUUGGGAGACAGUAAUCCACAAGUAAGUUCCAGAGUCUUGUUUUGUCUGAGCUGCCCGACAUAGAAACCCUCAAGUAUAGCUCACCAUAAGGAUGCUUAUGCAAUUUUGGUAUCCUUGGCCUAUCAUUCCAUAAAAUAUCCACCUUCUCUAUCUCCAUUAAUCCUUUUAAAACUGUUUCAAGAAGGAAUGGAAUCAUCAGGUCUUGAAUUGUGUCCAAUUGCACAGAUGAAUUCCUGGACUUUUCAAUUAUAGUAACAGUUAUACACAACAUAUCUUCCUUUUCCCUUUGAUUGUCAGCCACAGAACAGUCCUUGCAUGUUAUUUGCACAUUCGGCAGAUUGUUUUCUGAAUUACACCGAUUAUAAAGGGUAUCUAUAAUAGAUUGCACCUUUAGACGUCUCUUCUUCAUAAUUUCCUUGUGUACAUGAAAAUGACAAACCCAAGGACUGAAACGUGUCUUGAUCUCAUUCUUCUCACUCUGCGGAGAGAACAUUAUCCUUGAAAUAGAAACAAUAUCUGAAAACAGUAUUCUCUCCAAAUAGUCCUGAACUUCCAAUGCAGCAUACUCAAAACCAUGUCUCUGCCUUCCAAGUUUCUCAGAUAAAAAUAGUGACACGGAUUUGUGAGCAUUACUCUUUUUCAGACCACAUUCCAGCACAUUCUUAAGAUUUAGUAGAGGUGAUUUUUCAAGUAGACUGAUUGGUUGAUCCAAAGCACUGUAAGCAGCUUCAGAGAUGGCACAAGCAGCCAAUGAACCCACAGGUUGGCCACCUAUCCCAUCACAAUUAUCAAAGAUAUGGCCAGGGCUAAAGCUUGGUGCAGACAUGUCUGUGUCAUUAUUAUAGGAGAACUGAACAAGUUGAUUCCCAUAAGCAUUUCUCACUGUUCCAUCAUAUGCAGCAUGAAUAUCACGCAUGAAGAACAUAAGUCUUCGAGUUAAAGUCCCAGGAAGAUCAGCAUUGUCACUGAAAGAGCUAUCUCUACUUGUUACUGAAUGUACAAAACAUUCUAGGGGAUUCAAGCCUGUUAAAAAAGAACCUUCAACGACAGCAGAUGGGAUAAAACACUUGGCACAUUCAGUAGCAUUGUCAUCCUUUUGUUUAUUCCAAGCAACACAAGAGAGUUGGUGAGGCAUUCUAAAGGGCAAUGGAACAAGUGAAUGUUGCAAACCUAGACACAUACUAUGUUGGACUAAUUUCAGUAGAUUACCCUUGCUUCCUGCUUUAAACAUGGCCAUCAAUGCAUUGUCUUUACUUGCAUAUUUGUAGGCUAAACUUUGAAUAUCACGAAACACAUGCUUGAAAGCAUCAACAGAAGCCUGACUGAGUGCAGCAGAUCUCUGCUUAUCAUAACACAAGCGCUCUACAUCAAAAUCCAUGGCAUACUGAUCAUCUUCACCAUUUCCAGCAAGGAAAUCUUGACAAGAAUCCACCAUGAACUGUUUUACAUUACAUGUGUGAACUGCAUCUUGAAUUCCGCAAAAAACUUCAGACAUCAUGUUAUUCCAUGAGUUUGAGUCAGGACAGAGGUACAAAUCAGAGAGUGAGACACUUAAGCCCCUCAUCGACAACCACUCACAAAGAACUUCCUGAGCAGUAUGCAAAAAGUCAAGAACUUGACUCUGGCAAUGUUUGACGAGGCUUUGGAAAAGAUUACCAUCAGUGUCACGUAGCCAAAAGGAUCCUUCAGAAGAAAUAAGCUCCCCAUCACGAAUGCAAACAUUAUUUGAAGGAAAAUCAUGAUCCAAACCUCUAGGUAGGAGCAUGCUAAUUAGUUGCUUUCCAGUCCAAACACAGCCAUUAGGUAAAGGAGCUUUUAUUAUAGCUGGAGACAACUGAUGAGGACAAAACAUUUGCAGCUGUUGCAUUUGGAAUAGGCUUAUGAAAACUCCAUCUUCCAUGACCAAAUGAGCAGCAACUAAACUAUCUUGACUGAGCGAGAGGAGAUUCCUGCCACUCUGUGCGUUAGUUAACUGCUUAUCUAAAGCAACAAGCUCAGAGAGCUCAACUCUGGUGUCAACUGAUUGAGGAACGUAGCCAUGUAGGCAAUCACCAUCAAAAUCUCCACGAAAUGGGGAGCAACAGAGCGGAUUGAUCGCAAGAACUGAGGUCACUGGAAGGACUUUAACAGAGAGAGCAAUAAGUGAGUGUUGAUGUAUUGAUGGAGGCCUAUUGAUCAAAACAAUAUCUCCAUCAUUUAGAGGCCUGUAAAUGAUGUCCCCAGUACGGAGUUCCUUCGUACGACGGAUACGAACAAGAUUACCUUCCCUGCGAACAUGCAUAUCGCCCUUCUCAAGAAUGCGUAUUUCACAACAAGUAUUCAACUUCUCCCAAUUCCAAGCUGUCAGAUGUUCUGAAAUUUGCAACCUUUCUGCAAUAUGACAGGGUAUACCAACUUCACUCAGCUUAAUAUUAGGAUCACCAACCACCACCAUUCGGAAUGAAUUAUCAUUCCGUUUACCGAGAACAACAUCUUUAAUCCAUCUCAAACCAGAUGGAUUGGAGGCAGAAUCAUUUAUCUUCCUUUGCAUGGCAAUGACAUCAUCAUUAUUUACUGAAUUGUCUGGGUUUAUCUGCAAAAUUGAAGAGUAAUGAUAAGAAUGAAAUCUUGACAUACUUACAAUUAUUGACUCCAAGUCUCCAACACAAAUAGGGGAAAGGAAAAAGCCACUUAUCUUGCCUUAGAAGUUUUCAGGCAGUCAAGAACACGGAAGCUCAAUUCUUUAGCUAUCCCUCUGAAAUCAACAAGUUUUUUGUAAGCCCUAGUCCGUUCAUCAAAAGACAAUCGCUGGCCACUAGAAAAUGCAUGCGUAACUUCUGUCACACGAUGACAAUUUGGUGUUACAGAGAAACAGUUAAGGAAAAUUGAAUCUGUCCUUUUAACAAACUUUCUUAUGAAAUUUGCAUCGACAUCUUUCAACAGAUGACGAACCUGUGCAUGUGAUAGAACUCUUUGGUUUGGUCUCACAAUGUUUUCUUCUUCUUGUUCAUCUUUUGGAAUAAUAUCCCAAUAGUCAGCAGCCAACCUUUUCUUCAGUCCUUUCUUUUGGGACUUUUGUGGUGGUCUUUCAACAAUUUUCGCUAUAAUUACAUUUUUCCUGAAGAUUUCUUCUGAAGAAACAGAGAACCUCAUUGUUGGGUACCAACCAAUUGAAUUUGCAACACAGUAUUUGCAACCCUUAACCAGAUUUUGUCUAGAUUUUGAAUUAGUCCGCUUGGUUUCUUUCCUAAUAGAUUUACAUCCUGGGCAAACUUUGUUCAAAAUCUGGACAACUUCAGACAGGUAAUAAGGAUGCAGUAUUGUGAAAGGAAAUUUAAUAACCCCAAAAUGACCUUCACAGGAUUUUAAAUCUUUGGAUCCACAAGUAGAGCAUUGAGAAGAUGGAUUUGGUAGUCCCAACUUCGGAUCAUUGACCUGACUUACUGCAUCAAUAGCUAGAACUGAAAGCUUUUCCUUUUCUGUCUCAGUUGAAACACCAAAUGUUAUGGCUGUUAGUAGAGCAGAUGGCAAUUGCUGCUCCUCAGAUAAAUCAGUCUCCAUUCCACUAGGUGAUUUUUAAGCUUAUUUGGAAUUAAUCAGCACCGUUAAUGGAAAGAGAAUGUGCUUUUCCCCGGUAAAAGGAGCUGUCUCUGUUGUUGUGAACAGAGGAGAGUGAAAGGACUGGAUGAUUGUGUAUGGAGCUGAGAAUAUAGAAGAAUGAGAUGGACCAGGAGUGGCACAACAGUAAUAAAGAGCGUAAUAAGGGGCAUAACAGCUAAAUCAUCGGGCCCGCAACGCCGC
rnacentral:misc_RNA from 1 species